ensembl:lncRNA
UGAUACCAUCAUAAAACAGAUAAAUGUACUUUCCUGAGGUGCUAGUUUUAGGAAAACACUGUUAACCAAUGCAUUCUUGUGUUCUGUGCGUUUUCAGCUUUCUCUCGGCCUGCAAACGCCUUAAUCGUCAAGAUUGCACCAAAACUUAGUUUGAACAAAAAAGCUUUCUCUCGGCCUGCAAACGCCUUAAUAGUCAUGAAUGCACCAAAACUUAGUUUGAACAAAAAAGCUUUCUCUCGGCCUGCAAACGCCUUAAUAGUCAUGAAUGCACCAAAACUUAGUUUGAACAAAAAAGGUUGGAAAACUAUUCUCAAACCAUGAUACCAUCAUGAAAAGGAUAAAUGUACUUUCCUGAGAGGCAAGUUUUAGGAAAACACUGUUAACCAAUGCAUUCUUGUGUUCUGUGCGUUUUCAGCUUUCUCUCGGCAAA